AUUCUUUGGAUUACCAGCAGAGCAACAGGAUCGCAAGGACGAAGCCCGCGGAGGGGUGGUUGCAUAUCAUUAUUAUUAUUAUAGUUUUGUGGUGUCAUCGAAAGUGCGAUGAUUUCGUUUUUAUUGCGGUUCGAGUCAAUUAAGUGGAAUAUUUCGCGACAUUUCUGAAUGCUUUUCCGUGUUAAACAUAAUAAAAACCCUGUUUUUGGGCACUUGUCGGCGUCCUAGUUAAUUUAUGCACAUGUGGAUGGAAUGUAAAUGGAAGUGCACUUGAAAGGGAUUUAUGAUCCAUUUAUGUACUCCCGUGUGAGGAGUUAAUCGAGAAUACAUAGCCCAUAAAUAAAUCUCAAUAAAAUCGAUUUGAAUGCAACC
ensembl:ncRNA lncRNA:CR44272 long non-coding RNA:CR44272